rnacentral:SRP_RNA from 1 species
UGCGACCCCUCGUGCGGCGGUAUCCCGCUUAACCCCCCCAGGGCCGGAAGGCAGCAAGGGCAGGUGGGCUCUAUCGGGUGUGCGAGGGGUCCCUUGU